rnacentral:rRNA from 1 species
UACGUAGGGUGCGAGCGUUGUCCGGAAUUAUUGGGCGUAAAGAGCUUGUAGGCGGUUGUCGCGUCUGCCGUGAAAGCCCAGGGCUUAACCCUGGGUCUGCGGUGGGUACGGGCAGACUAGAGUGUGGUAGGGGAGACUGGAAUUCCUGGUGUAGCGGUGAAAUGCGCAGAUAUCAGGAGGAACGACUGGUGGCGAAGGCGGGUCUCUGGGCCGAUACUGACGCUGAGGAGCGAAAGCGUGGGGAGCGAACAGG